rnacentral:miRNA from 1 species
AAAACAUAUAAUAGUUUUGUUUGUGGAAACACCACGUAAAUUUAUUACUGCAAUAAUAAAUUUACGUGGUGUUUCCACAAACAAAACUAUUAUAUGUUUUUCUUAA